GACCGCGUAGCUCAGUUGGCAGAGCAUUGGGCUAGUAUUCCAAAGGUCGUAGGUUCGAAUCCCAUCGUGGCCA
rnacentral:tRNA from 1 species